AGAGUGCUGGGAUUAAUGGCAUCAGCUGCCACCACCCGGCAGCCUUGAACUCUUGAUCCUCACCCUUAAGCCACUUGAGUGCUAGGAAGAUAGGUGUGUGCUAGGAAGAUAGGUGUGUGCCACUAUACUGGGCUUGGCUGUGUAAAUAUUAAGUUCAGUAAAAAAAAAAAAAAAAAAAAAAAAAAGAAA